rnacentral:rRNA from 1 species
AUCGAACGCUAGCGGGAUGCCUUACACAUGCAAGUCGAACGAGCGGCGGACGGGUGAGCAAUAUAUCGGAACGUGCCCAGCAGAGGGGGCUAACUAUUCGAAAGAGUGGAUAAUAGCGCAAACUGUUGGGUCGGUCGUUGUUGGUGUAGCUAGUUGCGGGGGUAAAGGCUGACCAAGGCAACGAGGCGUAGCUGGUUUGAGAGGACGACCAGCCACACGGGGACUGAGACACGGCCCAGACUCCUACGGUAGGCAGCAGGAGGGAAUUUUGGGCAAGGGGGGAAACCCUGAUCCAGCCAUCCCGCGUGUAUGAGAAGGCGUUCGGGUUGUAAAGUACUUUUGGCAGAGAAGCGGUAUCUGCAGAAUAAGCACCGGCUAACUACGUGCCAGCCGCCGCGGUAAUAC